AUCCCGUGAUGAAGGCAUCUACGUAGUAACUCAUUGAAUAUUUCCCAUGCCUCGUAUAAGGACUCGUCAUUCAAUUGUUAAAAAGUGGUGAUCUCAUUCCACAACUU
rnacentral:snoRNA from 1 species